GACGAACGCUGGCGGCGUGCUUAACACAUGCAAGUCGAACGGUAAGGCUCCAGCUUGCUGGGGUACACGAGUGGCGAACGGGUGAGUAACACGUGGGUGACCUGCCCUGCACUUCGGGAUAAGCCUGGGAAACUGGGUCUAAUACCGGAUAGGACCGCACCGUGAGGGUGUGGUGGAAAGUUUUUUCGGUGUGGGAUGGGCCCGCGGCCUAUCAGCUUGUUGGUGGGGUAAUGGCCUACCAAGGCGGCGACGGGUAGCCGGCCUGAGAGGGUGGACGGCCACAUUGGGACUGAGACACGGCCCAGACUCCUACGGGAGGCAGCAGUGGGGAAUAUUGCACAAUGGGCGGAAGCCUGAUGCAGCGACGCCGCGUGGGGGAUGACGGCCUUCGGGUUGUAAACUCCUUUCACCAUCGACGAAGGGUUUCUGACGGUAGAUGGAGAUGAAGCACCGGCUAACUACGUG
rnacentral:rRNA from 1 species